CCGCAUUCAACGCCCCGGGCUCAGCCGCGGCUGCGCCCGGAAUCCGGGGCCUCUCCUUCGUGACCCCGGAGUGGGCAAGUGACGAGGGCACGGCCAGAAACGCAUUGGCGUCAAGGAAACCACGACCCAUCUUCCUGGAAGGAAAUUUGGGGACACUUAUGAAGAGAAGACUAGGAAGGACCGGAGUAGAAGCACUAAAGGAGCCUCCAACUCUGAAGUGGCAGGAGAGGUGGCCUGCUCAGGAGAGCAAAACACAACUGAGGA
rnacentral:lncRNA from 1 species